rnacentral:rRNA from 1 species
CCGAAAGGCGGGAGUGCCUGCAAGGGAGCGCGGAGACAGGUGGUGCAUGGCUGUCGUCAGCUCGUGUCGUGAGAUGUUGGGUUAAGUCCCGCAACGAGCGCAACCCUCACCUCUUGUUGCCAUCAGGUCAUGCUGGGCACUCUAGAGGAACUGCCCCGGUCAACGGGGAGGAAGGCGGGGAUGACGUCAAGUCAUCAUGCCCCUUACGUCCUGGGCUACACACGUGCUACAAUGGCCGGUACAAAGGGAUGCCACACCGCGAGGUAGAGCUAAACCCAAAAAGCCGGUCUAAGUUCGGAUUGGAGUCUGCAACUCGACUCCAUGAAGGAGGAAUCGCUAGUAAUCGCGUAUCAGCACGACGCGGUGAAUACGUUCCCGGGCCUUGUACACACCGCCCGUCACACCACGAAAGCCAG